rnacentral:rRNA from 1 species
UACAGAGGGGCAAGCGUUGUUCGGAAUUACUGGGCGUAAAGCGCGCGUAGGUGGCCAACUAAGUCAGACGUGAAAUCCCUCAGCUUAACUGGGGAACUGCGUCUGAUACUGGAUGGCUUGAAUCCGGGAGAGGGAUGCGGAAUUCCAGGUGUAGCGGUGAAAUGCGUAGAUAUCUGGAGGAACACCGGUGGCGAAGGCGGCGUUCUGGACUGUCUCUGACACUGAAGAACGAAAGC